CCUACGGGGGGCUGCAGUGAGGAAUAUUGGUCAAUGGGCGGAAGCCUGAACCAGCCAAGUCGCGUGAGGGAAUAAGGCCCUACGGGUCGUAAACCUCUUUUGCCGGGGAGCAAGGGCCGGGACGCGUCCCGGCCCGGAGAGUACCCGGAGAAAAAGCAUCGGCGAAGUCCGUGCCAGCAGCCGCGGUAAUACGGAGGAUGCGAGCGUUAUCCGGAUUUAUUGGGUUGAAGGGGUGCGUAGGCGGGCUUUUAAGUCUGCGGUAAAAAUUCGGGACUAAACCCCGUCCGGCCGUUGAAACCGGGGGCCUUGAGUGGGCGAGAAGAAGGCGGAAUGCGUGGUGUAGCGGUGAAAUGCAUAGAUAGCACGCAGAACCCCGAUUGCGAAGGCAGCCUUCCGGCGCCCUACUGACGCUGAGGCACGAAAGUGCGGGGAUCGAACAGGAUUAGAUACCCGUGUAGUC
rnacentral:rRNA from 1 species